UACAUGAUACUCUCCCGUUCGGCGUGUGUGAUACAUACACUUCACAGGGCAAGGAGGCUCAAUCCAGGCUCCGACCAGUUUCAGAAAUAAGUCUGAGCAGCUUUGUCCUGUGAGAAACCCAUUUCAUCAUCAGCAGCAUGUCUUGGAAGGCAAGAAGCUAUCAGUAUUGCUGCCAUCCUUGGCAUCCCAUGUACACUAAAAGAAAAAAUCUGCAAUAUGUUGAUUCUGGGUGAUGAA